UGCGACGGGGCCCGGAUUCGCGAGGCCCGUCGUCUCGAUCACGACGCGGUCGAAAUCGAACGUGCCGUCGCGCUUCUUCGCGGC
rnacentral:tRNA from 1 species